AUUGAACGCUGGCGGCGGGCCUAACACAUGCAAGUCGAGCGGAUGAAGGGAGCUUGCUCCUGGAUUCAGCGGCGGACGGGUGAGUAAUGCCUAGGAAUCUGCCUGGUAGUGGGGGAUAACGUCCGGAAACGGGCGCUAAUACCGCAUACGUCCUGAGGGAGAAAGUGGGGGAUCUUCGGACCUCACGCUAUCAGAUGAGCCUAGGUCGGAUUAGCUAGUUGGUGGGGUAAAGGCCUACCAAGGCGACGAUCCGUAACUGGUCUGAGAGGAUGAUCAGUCACACUGGAACUGAGACACGGUCCAGACUCCUAAGGGAGGCAGCAGUGGGGAAUAUUGGACAAUGGGCGAAAGCCUGAUCCAGCCAUGCCGCGUGUGUGAAGAAGGUCUUCGGAUUGUAAAGCACUUUAAGUUGGGAGGAAGGGCAGUAAGUUAAUACCUUGCUGUUUUGACGUUACCAACAGAAUAAGCACCGGCUAACUUCGUG
rnacentral:rRNA from 1 species